AUUCAAUUGUAGCUCAUGGAACCUCUAUUCUCUAGAGCUGAUCCUACAAUUUUGCUCAACAUUGCAAUUGAUGGCUUAGAUGAUCUUUAGAUCUUUACUUGGAAGGUCCAUUGAACAAUUGCUAAAAGUUAUAGAAAAAGUAGUCUCGAAACUUCUGCUCCCAUGUGUUAAAACGGUUGGGAACUUGGCUAGAACGUUUCACGCCGGCCACUGAGUGUUAAAUGAUCCAACCAUUGGUUCAACUUCUUGAUGAACGCUAGGCUGAGAUCACCAGAGCAGCCACCAUAGCACUGACCAAGUUCGAGUGCUCGAAAACUAUCUCCACCUUGAUCAUUCAAAAGUUGUUAUCAAUGCUGGUGGUGCAAAACAUUUGAUUUAGUUGGUUUACUUUGGUGAACAAAUGGUUUAACAAAUUUUUCUGACAUCGUCCGAUUUAUAAUCAGCUUGGUGAUAUAAUGGAGUGCCUCAACUAGCAAAAACAAUGAACCAGAUAUUUUGCAAUCCGGUCAAGCACUUUUGAAGUUAUCUCUAUUGUCACUCAUGAUCAAGAUGGCAAUCUUAAGAUAAAGUUACAUAUUUACUUGUUUCUUAUUGCUUGCAGAUUCUAGUACAACAUAUCAAAGCAGUGCUACCGGGGUUGAAAUCACGCAUUAGUGCACAAUUAGUUGUUGUGGCAAAGGAGUAUGCUAGCUAUGGAGAAAGCAUAGAGUCAAAGGUAAGUGGUGCCAGGGAUGAAAACGGGUAUGGGGGGUGUGGAUAAAACGUAAUAUAGCUUUACGUAUACAAAUAUAAAUAACAGGGUAUACAAAGGAGUAUAGUAACAUUAUGGUGAUUGGGCCCAACAUCCACACUACCCCUGUCGAAAUAAAGGAAAAACUUGCACACUAUGCACCACAUAGAGGAAGCUGUUGCACGAUGCACCUGUAACUGCAUGGAGAUUUAUGUUGUUGCUUUGUCCCAACAAAGAGUAGUCAAAGAAGUCACCCAAUGGAUG